UACGUAGGGUGCAAGCGUUAAUCGGAAUUACUGGGCGUAAAGAGUACGUAGGUGGUUGAUUAAGUUAUCUGUGAAAUUCCUGGGCUUAACCUGGGCAGGUCAGAUGAUACUGAUUGACUCGAGUAUGGGAGAGGGUAGUGGAAUUUCCGGUGUAGCGGUGAAAUGCGUAGAGAUCGGAAGGAACACCAGUGGCGAAGGCGGCUACCUG
rnacentral:rRNA from 1 species